AGCUUUUAACAAUCUAACUAAAGCCCUCUCCAGGGUCACCCUAGAAUCAGAUCUCCAGCAUCUUCUGUUUCCUGGUGAGUGAUUCCUGCUACUUUGGAUGGCCAUGACGGGCUGGAGCUGCCUUGUGACAGGAGCAGGAGGGUUUCUGGGACAGAGGAUCAUCCGCCUCUUGGUGAAGGAGAAGGAGCUGAAGGAGAUCAGGGUCUUGGACAAGGCCUUCAGACCAGAAUUGAGAGAGGAAUUUUCUAGUAAGUAAACUUGGGUCAUGGGUGUGUGGUUCCAUCUUAACACUGCAUGUGUGUGGGGGGAGAUGGACCUUGUCUAGCAAGUUAUUGAAAUUUGUAGCCAAAUCUAAGCCAAUCUCACAUCCAAAGUCAUCAAGAAAUAAAUAUUAAAUAGUAUAAAAUGGCAUCGUAUGAAAGAUACUGGGUGGGAUUUCCAGAGACUAGAUUCUGGCCCUGACCCGGAACUUGAGAAGCAGCCACCUCAGCCUCCAGGCCUCUUUUCUUCUCGUCUAGAAAAUCCCACAUCAGUUCUUUUUCUUGUCUGCAACUCUUUUAUGUUCUGAAGCUUUUGUCUUGGCAAUUGCUGUACAACAUUCAUAAAGGACACCAUUACCCUGGAGACCUCACCAAUGGGUCAUUGUCUCU
rnacentral:sRNA from 1 species